UGGCGAACGGGUGAGUAACACGUGGGUGAUCUGCCCUGCACUCUGGGAUAAGCCUGGGAAACUGGGUCUAAUACCGGAUAGGACCAUGCUUUAGUGUGUGUGGUGGAAAGUUUUUUCGGUGUAGGAUGAGCCCGCGGCCUAUCAGCUUGUUGGUGGGGUAAUGGCCUACCAAGGCGGCGACGGGUAGCCGGACUGAGAGGUUGGUCGGCCACAUUGGGACUGAGAUAAGGCCCAG
rnacentral:rRNA from 1 species